AAAGGAGGUUUUUUGUUUACCAAGUGGGAAAACGGAGAGCUAAGUCUAAGUAGAUGCAUGGAUGUCAAAAUUAAUUUGUAAAUAAGCUCUAUUUAAUUGGCUUAAUUUCUUUUAAGGGCCUAUACAAAUCUUCAGAAAUAUCUAACCCAAAUGAAUUUUAGGUUCAUGUAAAACACUUAGUAUUAGAUUAAUACCUGAUCUUAUAGGUAGUUAAGCUUGUUUAGUUAAUGCAGACAUAUCUUUGUCUUUUCUAGAACCACACCCGUGGCAUAUGGAGGUGCCCGGACUAGGGGUCUAAUGGGAGCUGUAGCCACCAGCCUACGCCAGAGCCAUAGCUACGUGCGAUCUGACCCACAUCUGUGACCUACACCACAGCUCAUGGCAACGCUGGAUCUUUAACCCACUGAGCGAGGCCAGGGAUCAAACCUGCAACCUCAUGGUUCCUAGUCAGAUUUGUUGAAACUGAGCCACGACGGGAACUCCCAGACAUAUAUUUAGAGUCAACUAUAAUUUUAUUGUACCUGGGAAAGUUAGUAAGAUCUUAUUAAUCCUAUUAUAAAAUUUGUCAGCAAGAACAACUUGAUAACAAUGGGAUGAAAUUAAAGUUUAAGAGUUUGGGGAGUUGAGCUCUUUGGGAAUAACUAUGUUUUAGGAAAUUCAAAGCAGUCUCUCUAGAAUUUGACACCUUGAAACUUAGAGUGUCAAGGAGUCCCCUUGUAACUAUCAAUUUUUUAGAAAACUGCUCUAGAAAAAGGAGACAGGUUUAGUGGCCAGUAGCUCCUGUUACAGAAGUACCAUAUCAGAAGUUAAAACCUCAGCAGAAACGAAUCUGACUAGCAUCCAUGAGGGCUCAGGUUCAAUCCCCAGCCUCGAGCAGUGGGUUAAGGAUCCGGCAUUACCGUGAGCUGUGGUAUAAGUUGCAAAUAUCCUUAACCAACUAAGCAAGGCCAGGGAUUGAACCUGUGUCCUCAUGGAUGCUAGUCAGAUUCAUUUCUGCCGAGCCACGACGGGAACUCCCACAGGUGAAUUUUAAUAUAACGAUGUUUCCAAUACUGUAUUAUGAAUGUGGCUACCUGCCAUAAACCUUAAAACAAUUCAUUCAUUAGCAUGUAGGCUAAACAUUCAUGCCAGGGGAACAUGGAUCUUUUGGUACCUGUCAGCACACAGCACACAGCGGCCUUGACCCCCAGAGGAUCCUGAAGUACCUCUUCCAUCCAUUCUGGAAGAAACCAGGGCCAGGUUGGUGCUACAAAGCCACUUGAGCUCCAUCAGGUGCAACCCAGUAUGUUCCCGGUGACCUGACCCAAUCUGUGUCAUAUCAAUGGCUAUCUUUAAGGGAAAUGAUAUACUGACAUUUGUCAUAACUGCACCGAGCCUGAUAAUCUUCAGUCUGAUUUAAUUGUUCCCAACAUGGUGGGAGGUGGGGCUUAGUCUUCAAGAGCCAUAGCCCAGUAUUAGCCAUUUAAAUCCAUCCCACAACUGAGAGAGGGUCCCUCCUCAUGAUCCGGAAAGUUACAAUUUUUGACUGAAAUCUAGCUUGUUGCUCUGAUGAAGCUGGAGUAACUUUAAGGAAAAACUCUUCUUUAUGGUCCGAGUCAGAGCAAGGGUGCUUCUUGACUGGCCAAGUAAGGUGUCCCAGUAUUAGCAGCAGCAGCCUGGACAUAACUUCUAAGAUGAGCUUUUGAAGGGCCAUCCAUCAGACCCUUGAAAAGGGUCUCAAUAACCAGAAGCACAGGAUGCAGGUCAUUGACCACAGACCCGACAAGUGGCUUGAAUUCUCAAAUGUGCAUAGGAUUGCAAAUUCAGACACCAGAAAUCAAGGCAGCGUUAGAAACCACAUACCAGUCAGGUCCAGCCUUAGGACAGCCAUCUGCUUCUGAUGCCUCCUCGCCCUGGCAGGGCAUUUCCUUCCUGCUGGACAUUGCUCUAAGGCGAGUUUGAGGCCAGUGGCUCUCUCAUAGACCAGUCCCAGGCAGUGGCCCUUUUUAGGGGGAAAACAUAGAUCUGAGGUCAGUUCUCUUCAGUCUUGCUGUUCAUGAGCUGUUUAAGAGAACCUGAUAAGGGACUGUCCACUGAGGUGUAAAUGAUGCCUUUUCCAGUACACACAGCCUCCUGGUUGUAGGUCACAGGGCAUCCGACCUUCAUCUGAAGACCCAUUACUGUGAUAACAGGACCUUCCAAGCUUGUUGAUGGAUGUUAACAAUUCAGUUGAACGCUUGCAGUGCCACAGCCUACCCCUUUCACUAAUAUAGGUUCACAAACUCCAUCCAGUCUCACUGGUCACCCCUUGAUAAUCUCAGGGGACAAAUGGUGUUUUCCAAAAGGGGCAGGUCUGAGAAGGACCUUAGCCUGAGUAAGGAAUAAGCCUCUAUCAUCCUGGCCAACUGAGUUCACUGGUCCAUUUGUUCUUUCACCACCUAGAAGGCUGGGGUGCUGGCCUAAUGGAAAUGCUGCGUAAGUGGUUAAGUCUGAGGGUGUUCCCCAAAUGGGCAUCACUCUAAAACCAAUUUCCCUUCUGUUCCCUUCAGCGUUCAGAGGCCUCAGCCCAGUAUGAAGACAUACCAGUCAUAGAGGAGCAUAUCGAUAACCUGAGAGGGAGGCCUGUAUACAACCAAUUUGCCAAGGUUCAGGGGGACCCGCAGGUAACAGCAGCUUCCCUUGCAAACUAUAGUGGCUUCUCCGGGUUUGGUUUUGGACCAAGGGCAUGGAGUAAACCUUGCCAGCCAUUGUACAAGGCUUCCAAAAAUAAUGUGCCCCAGGGAGUUCUCCUCCCUGCUCCCAGCUGUCCUGGGAGCUAUUUGCUUUUCUUUAAUAGACUUUGCUUGCUUGCUGCCUGUGUGUUGGUGGAGUUCAUUCUUAGACUGCCGUGAACAAGAACCUGGAUUCUAGUAUCAUCUUUCCAAUAUCAUAACCACAGCGUAACAAAGGCGUUCACAGACUCUGAGACCCUGGCAGGACUACCUGACGCUCCCUAUGAGCCUGGUGACUGGGGCUGGCCAGAGUCAGCAGCCCAGAGCAGUGGGGUCUAGGCCCCACCUCUGUUGGUUCAGUGAGCAGCGCACACAAACCUCUGACUUGCUGCUGCAGGAGGACCACCUGGUACAAGGAAGAGGAAAUGGGACUCAGUUUCUAUGUAAUCUCCCCAAAGUCCAGGAUCCAGUAAAAAAAUGUCGCUUGUCAUCUUACAAAAGUUACCUGCAUGGAGCGGGGCCUGUGCCCCCUGGUGGGGACUCAGCAGUGGGUCCUCUCUAGCUGCCAGAGUUCCUCUGAGCAGGAACCUGUGUGCUGUCAUCAGGUGCUUCCUCUCUGGGGCUCCCAAGGGGGAGACCCCUCCAGCCCCUGAAUUUGGGCUGGGAGCUGAGCCCCAGCACCAGGGCCCAACAAGGGUGGGGAGGUCCCCAGCUAGACCCCCAUUUGCAUGGGCAGCCCCUCCCCUGGCAGAGGCUGGGCAAGAAAAGGAGGCCUGGGCAGCCCAGCCCCUCUCUGGGCACCAGGGGCUGUGAGCACCAUGGCCUGGACUCCUCUGCUGCUCGUGCUCCUAUCACUGCACAGGUUCCCUCUCCCAGGCUGUCCUGACUCUGCCACCCUCCCUCUCUGCCUCUCCUGGAGCAUCAGCCAGGCUCCCCUGCAUCCUGAGCAGUGACAUCAGUGUGGGUAGAAAAGUCAUAUCUUGGUUCCAGCAGAAUCCAGGGAGCCCUCCCUGGUACCUCCUGAGUUUCUACUCAGACUCCGAUAAGCACUAGAGCUCUGGGGUCCCCAGCCACUUCUCUGGGGCCAAAGAUGCCUUGGCCAAUGUGGGGCUUCUUCUUAUCUCUGGGCUGCAGCCUGAGGACGAGGCUGACUAUUACUGUGCUACGCAUCAAUGGCAGUGGGAGCAGCUAUCAUUUCCCCAGUGACUGAGACAUGGGGGAAGUGAGACAAGAACGCGGGGCACUCAGGCCUUGGCUCUGAGCCUCUUUCUUGAGGGGAUGUGGAGACACCUGCAGGACAGACUCUUCUGUGGUAAGACCUGUGCUUGUAUAGGAAAGGGAAACGGGAGUUCCUGUCGUGGCACAGUGGUUAACAAAUCCGACUAGGAACCAUGAGGUUGCAGGUUCGAUCCCUGCCCUUGCUCAGUGGGUUAAUGAUCCAGUGUUGCCGUGAGCUGUGGUGUGGGUUGCAGAUGCUCAGAUCCUGCGUUGCUGUGGCUCUGGCAUAGGCAGGCAUUUGUAGCUCCAGUUAGACCCUUCGCCUGGGAACCUCCAUAUGCCGCAGGAGCAGCCCAAGAAAUGGCAGGAAGACAGAAGAAAAAAAAGAAAAAGGGAAACACAUAUCGAGGCUUGUGACCCGGGCCAGCGCAGGUGUCCCAGGAACACACCCAGGUGAGAACAGAACCCAUCCGCCUCUGCGCCUGACCCCCAGGGUCUGGAGUAAAUGAAGAAUACAACUUUUUUAAGGAAAAUAAUAAUAAUAAUGUGCCCCACAAUACCAUCUUACCGGAUUCCAAUGAGCAACCUUGGGAAAAUAUCACAAAAUGGGACACCAGGCUUCAAACAGAAGGAUAGGUGGGCUUCCUCUGUGGGCCUGUCACAGCCCUUUGCUGGAGUUCAGUCUUCCUCCCUCCUGUCCCCUGAAAUUAACCACAGGUCAGUACGGUGGCUGGGAGGGAAAGCCAGUGGGUGGCUGGUUUGUAAAGCCGAGGUCUUGGCUGCCUGAUCGGCUAGCUUCCUCUGGGUUCUGCAGUGUCAGCCUUGACAGCUAGUGCAUUCAGCUGCAGACCUACACCCAGUAAUUCUAACAGGCCAUCCUGGGGACAUUAAAAGUCCUGUUUCCAACCAUGCCAAAGUCCUGUUCCAGCCCCAAAGCACAGCGGCUGUCUAUUAACAUUAGAGACUUCGCCUUUGCCAGCUGGCAGGCUCUCCAGACUGUUGGGUGAGAAGAAUUAGGCAAGAGGGCAUUUUCCAGUGCAGACACUGGAGAAACAAUGGUAUAGCCAGCCUAGUACCCUCCAUGAGGUCUUUGCAGACACUAACUGUCAGUGAGUAACAAAGUCAGAGUCAUGCACUGGGCUUUCCUCUAAGAGGUGAAAGAUUUCCAUCGUUGACAUGUGAUGCGUUGGAGAGCACGGAGGCUGGAUUAAGUGAUUCAUACCUGUGGAGAGGGAGGUGGCGAGAUCCAAACCACCCCAGGGAGCUGAACAGCUGAAUCAUAUGUGACACAUUUAGUAAGGCUUCCAGGAUGGGGAGCAGAGAUGGUGAUAGUCUCUGUGGUUUGACUCAGCACAGCUGUGAGACAAGGCGGGACAGGCCUUGGCUGCUGUGCCUACUUGGCUGCAAUACACCAUUUGCUGGUAACCACCAUGUUGCUAGGUUAGUACUCCUUACGUGCCCUUCUUUCUCACACACAAAGAAAAAAGGGCAAAUCAU
rnacentral:lncRNA from 1 species